AUGGCUGUCGUCAGCUCGUGUCGUGAGAUGUUGGGUUAAGUCCCGCAACGAGCGCAACCCCCGUCCUAUGUUGCCAUCAUUAAGUUGGGGACUCAUAGGAGACUGCCGGUGACAAACCGGAGGAAGGUGGGGAUGACGUCAAGUCAUCAUGCCCCUUAUGUCCAGGGCUACACACGUGCUACAUUGGCGCAUACAAAGGGCAGCAAUACCGCGAGGUGGAGCAAAUCCCAUAAAGUGCGUCUCGGUUCGGAUUGGAGGCUGAAACUCGCCUCCAUGAAGGUGGAGUUGCUAGUAAUCGCAGAUCAGCAAUGCUGCGGUGAAUACGUUCCCGGGCCUUGUACACACCGCCCGUCACACCACGAAAGCGAGUAACACCCGAAGCCGGUGGCCUAACCGCAAGGAGGGAGCCGUCGAAGGUGGGACCCGUGAUUGGGGUGAAGUCGUAACAAGGUAGCCGUAGCGGAAGCUGCGGCUGGAUCACCUCCUUUCUAGGGAGAUUUCUCUAGAACGUCGACCGGGCUCCCCGCCGACACCUGUAUUUGUCGGUGGGCACGCUGCUCAGUUUUGAGAGACCACCACGGAAGAACUCCGUGGUGUGCCUCGGUGGACCUUGAAAACUGCACAAGGCUGAAAAUCAGAAUCCGCAUCCGCGGAUUUUGGGGUAUUUAAUUUCGACCCGUACACUUUGGUGUGCGGGUUGUAUCACCGUCAAGAUAUUAAGAGUUUACGGUGGAUGCCUUGGCACCAGGAGUCGAUGAAGGACGUGGACGGCUGCGAUAAGCCGCGGUUAGGCGCUGAACAGCCUUUGACCCGCGGAUUUCCGAAUGGGGAAACCCGG
rnacentral:sRNA from 1 species